GUAACACAUAGCUGCGUGAAUCGCCAUAGAUAUACAUUUGUAGAAGUAGCUCCGGUUAGAAUGUUCUUCCGCGGGACGCGUGCGUUUGUGUUUAUUAGCCGCUAGCGCGCCAAAAUGUACAUAGUGUUGCUUUAACAGUCCUAAAUGUAACGAAUCUUCUCCAGAUAAUUAUUUGAUACAGUCGAAAUGAAUUGCUGACAGAGAGACGGUGGCAUUUAUAUCUCGGCGUGGAUGAGAAGAGAACCUCAGCUGAGACACAUGUGAACUGUGAACUUACCCUAUGGUUAAAGGUGUGUGUGGAGAUCUGUGUGGGUCAGAUGAGCAUCAGAGAAGAUUCUUCUACUCACAUCCACAAUCAGGAAGUCCAGCCAGCACCAGUAGUUAGUGAAGUAUUUCUUAAAGCCAUACGCGAUCCACUUCAGAAACAUCUCCAGCACGAAGAUGUAGCUGAACACCUUAUCAGCAUAUUCCAACACCACCUUCACCACCUUCCUCUGUUCAAUGUAAAUGUCUUCAAAUGCCUGACCACAAGAAGAAUAUCAUACUACAAGCUCCACUGCUGAGGAGGAUCAUGAAGAUGAUGAAGGUCUCAAACCAGCUGUGUUCAACUAUCUGAUAGCACGUCUUCCUCAACCUCCACCAUGCUUGACCAAGACCUCUCGUCGUGUUGAUAUUGCAA